GUGUGCGUCGCCUCGGCUGACUCGCAGCGCAUGCUGGGAUCCCUCCCCAGCGCCAGCCCCAGCACCGAGCUGAGCUGUGGUUCGAGGUAGAGGUGCUGCUGUUACUUCCCAGGACAGACUUCGUUAUCUCCUACCUGAUGAGAAGCAGCUGCAAAACGGAUCCAACCAUCAUCCAAGGAGACAACGAACUCUCCCCUUUGAAGCUGCACAUGCACUUGGCCUCCUCCAAACAAGACCAGUGGGUACACAGACACCACGCUGCAGUCUCGGAUGAACACCCGACUCGUUUUGAUCUUCUCGUGGUACACCAGGUAGGGGCUGUCAAAGUGCCUGACCUGGAACAUAGGGCAGUGAUGUCACUGACAACAUAAGGGGAACUCUACCAGUCCCAAGGAUUUAACUAUCACCUGUCCAGUGACUCCCCAGAUUAUCUUCAGCCUGUACCUUUCCCCUGAGCUCAAGACUCAUAUAUGCAACUGCCCACUCGGUCUCCAUCUGGACAUAUAACAAGCCUCUCAAAAUUCUUGACAUUCCCCUCCUUGCAGCGUUCACUGUCUCAGUAAAUGACACUCCCACUUACCCAGUUGCUCAAGCCCUGAACUUACGAACCAUCCUUGACUGUUCUUUCCCUCACUCCACCUCUCUCAUCACUAAGGCUUCUGCUUUCAAAAGGCACGAUGAACUGACAUUCUUACCACCUCUACAGCUACCGCCUUGUACAAACCACUUCACCUCGCAGAGGUCACUGCAACGGCUGCCUACGUACUUGCCCUUUCGCAUCUUCGGUCUCUUCUCUACACAGUGGCCACAGUGACCUUUUAAAAACAAGUCCAGUUAGGGCUCCAAACCCUCUAGAGAUUUCCCAAGGGUAAGAUCUCAAAUCCUGACCAUGGAUUACAAGGUCCUAUGCAACCUUCCCCUGCCUGCUGGUCCCAACUCACCUACCACUUGCACCCCCAACCCUCCCCCUCUGUGUGUACUGGCCGCCUUCCUGCGUUUCCCGGAGCAUACUCAACGUGCCCAUCCCUUAGACUUCGCGCUCAUCUCCUCUGCUUGGGAUGUUCUCUUUAGACAUCUGCAUGGCUUGCCUUUCAUCUCAUCUAGGAUCUGUUGUUUUCUCAGAGGUCUUCCCUGACCACUCUAUGGAAAACAGCCCCUCUUGGGAAGGGGGAGGGAUCAAUUAAGAGUUUCCGUUAGGAUUAACAGAUCUACACCACUGUUAUAAAACAGAUAAACAAGGAUUUACUGUAUAGCACAGGGAAAUACAGUCAAUAUCUUGUGAUGACCUAUAAUGGAAAAGAAUCUGUAGCUGUACACCUGAAACUUAACACGAUACUGUAAGUCAACUAUAGUUAAAUAAGUUAAAAAAAAAAAAAAAGCCCCUCUCCUGUCAUACUCAACCUUACUGUCUUAUUUUCUUCAUAAAAUCUGUCAUUAACCUGACAUGACUUGUCUCUUGCCUGACUUCCCCACUAGAAAGUAAGCUCCCUGAGGGCAAAGAGCUCGUCUCCCCAAGCUCCGCUCUCUUCCUGGCCUUCAGCGACACCUGGCACAGAGGAGGUGCUAGCAGAUACUGAUGGAGGCAGGAAGGAUUUGGACUCAUUGCAGAAAUGUCAUGGAAACAAGGGAGAGGAGGUGUGGAGGUAACUCAGGCCCCUGGUUCCUAAGAGCGCAUGCAGCUGAGUGGGCAGGUGACCUCCUGGUCCUCAAACUCUUCUGAGCUUAAGGAGAUUUUUUUCACGCUUUGCUGACACUUUAGUCAAUAGUUCCAGGGGUUGACCAGCCCUAACACUUCUAACUCUCUUCCUCCAUCCUUUCCUCUUUUUCUCCUUCAUCUCUCCCCAAAGCUUUACUGAGCAUCUGCUUUCAGCUAUGACACCUAGGCUCCAUGGUAGACAUCAAGAAUGUAGAAAUGAAUAAAAUUCAACUUCUGUCCUCAGGAAUUUCACAACUCCAAGAAUGAGACAUACCAUAAACUGUAAAAUAAUGUGUAAAUACUACAGUACUUCACGAUCCGUUGUCGGCUGAAUCUCUGAGUGUGGAACCUGAUGAAGAACUGUGGGCGUAGGUGAGUAGCUCUGGGUGACUGUACCACACACUAGCCAUGUGGGGGAGAAACCAUGUGGAAUAUUUCAGGUCUACACUGAUUAUCAGGUGAAGAAAUCCAGCUGGCAACACUGGAAUCUGCUGAAAAUCCCAGUCCAGUAUUUCCAAAUGAAUUUCUUUCAAAAUAAUGGAAAAAAUUAUAUGAAUUAACACUGUUUCAUUUUUAAUAAAUGAAGUUUAUGCGCACACACACAUCUACAUGUUUACUGUAGAAAGUAACUUUUUGGUAUUGUAUAACACAGGGAACAAUAGUCAGUAUCUUGUAAUAACCUACAAUGGAAAAUCUGAAAAAACAUAACUGUAAUAAACUAUAUUCUGAAAAAAUAUAACUGAUCCACUUUGCUAUACACCUGAAAGUAACACAGUCUUGUAAAUCAACUAUACUUUGAUGGAAAAAAAGGGAAAAAAUACAGAUCUCUUGUAAUCACAUGAUUAAGAAAUAACCA